GUGAUGAUUUAAAAACACUGGUGUUGGAGGGGAGGAAGGGGCUUUUAACCUCUCUGUUCUUCCUGUCCCUUUAGAGGUAUAUAUGGACAUGCUCCAUGUGUGCUGUCAUGUCGGACUCUUGGAAAACUAUUUACCAGUUCCUACAAUAUAGGAUCCGCUCAGUGGAUAUAUAUUCUAUAUAAGACCCUUCUCCUGAUUGACCUAUCAAAGAUGGAAAGGGACAAGAUGGCAGAGAGUAUAAUAAAUCUCACCCUAGAGAUCCUCUUCCAUCUUACUGGAGAGGACUACACAGUAGUAAAGAAGACCUCUACUGACCGCUGUCAGGUCCCUGUGUCUGAAGGAUGGGGACGAACCCUGAGCCCAAUCAUGGGGCCUCCACCUCACCCCCUGAUACAUGAGAAAAUCAAUAGAGAGAUGAUCUUAAAACUUACCAACAAGAUGAUUGAGCUGCUGACUGGAGAGGUUCCUAUAAGGUGUCAGGAUGUCACCGUCUAUUUCUCCAUGGAGGAGUGGGA